GACGAACCGAGCGAACGUUGUUCGGAAUCACUGGGCUUAAAGGGUGCGUAGGCGGCUUUUUAAGUCAGGGGUGAAAGACGGUAGCUCAACUAUCGCAGUGCCCUUGAUACUGAAGAGCUUGAAUACACUAGAGGUAGGCGGAAUGUGACAAGUAGCGGUGAAAUGCAUAGAUAUGUCACAGAACACCAAUUGCGAAGGCAGCUUACUAUGGUGUCAUUGACGCUGAGGCACGAAAGCGUGGGGAUCAAACAGG
rnacentral:rRNA from 1 species